rnacentral:RNase_P_RNA from 1 species
AGGGUCGGUCAGGUGGCCGCCGGAGGUAAUUCCUCCGGAGGAAAGUCCGGGCUCCAGAGGGCAGGGCGCCGGGUAACGCCCGGAGGGGGUAACCCCUGGAAAGUGCCACAGAAAACAGACCGCCCCGUACAGGGGUAAGGGUGAAAAGGUGGGGUA